CCAUGCCCAGGUCCAUUACUGUAGUUAGAGCACCAUGCCCAGGUCCAUUACUGUAGUUAGAGCACCAUGCCCAGGUCCAUUACUGUAGUUAGAGCACCAUGCCCCGGUCCAUUACUGUAGUUAGAGCACCAUGCCCAGGUCCAUUACUGUAGUUAGACCAUCAUGCCCAGGUCUAUUACUGUAGUUAGAGCAUCAUGCCCAGGUCCAUUAC